GGGCCCGCACAAGCGGUGGAGCAUGUGGUUUAAUUCGAUGAUACGCGAGGAACCUUACCAGGGCUUAAAUGCAGAACGACCGGGAUAGAAAUAUCCCUUUCUUCGGACGGUCUGCAAGGUGCUGCAUGGUUGUCGUCAGCUCGUGCUGUGAAGUGUCGGGUUAAGUCCCAUAACGAGCGCAACCCCCAUUUCUAGUUGCCAGCGGUUCGGCCGGGGACUCUAGAGAAACUGCCAGCGUAAGCUGUGAGGAAGGUGGGGAUGACGUCAAAUCAUCACGGCCCUUACAUCCUGGGCCACACACGUGCUACAAUGGUGGGGACAACAGGUUGCCAACCCGCGAGGGUGAG
rnacentral:rRNA from 1 species